rnacentral:rRNA from 1 species
AUUGAACGCUGGCGGCAGGCCUAACACAUGCAAGUCGAACGGCAGCACAGAAGAGCUUGCUCUUUGGGUGGCGAGUGGCGGACGGGUGAGUAAUGUCUGGGAAACUGCCCGAUGGAGAGGGAUAACUACGGGAAACGGUAGCUAAUACCGCAUAACGUCGCGAGACCAAAGUGGGGGAUCUUCGGGCCUCACACCAUCGGAUGUGCCCAGAUGGGAUUAGCCAGUAGGUGGGGUAAUGGCUCACCUAGGCGACGAUCCCUAGCUGGUCUGAGAGGAUGACCAGCCACACUGGAACUGAGACACGGUCCAGACUCCUACGGGAGGCAGCAGUGGGGAAUAUUGCACAAUGGGCGCAAGCCUGAUGCAGCCAUGCCGCGUGUAUGAAGAAGGCCUUCGGGUUGUAAAGUACUUUCAGCGGGGAGGAAGGCGGUGAGGUUAAUAACCUUGCCGAUUGACGUUACCCGCAGAAGAAGCACCGGCUAACUCCGUGCCAGCCGCCGCAGUAA